UUUGUGAGUUUUUGUAUUGCAGGGAGACAUUUAGGACAGCACAUUGAGGGACGGCAUUGUGGGACAGUGGAUUUUGCCAGUUGGCGUGUUCGAGGGCGUACAUCUUUCGGGAGCAUCGGGUCGUUUCAUCUUGGAUGGUACAUUUGCAGGUGGUUCCAGUGGGAGUCGUCAUUUAUGGUUAUCACAGUUGGUUGGUUAGUCGGCCGUCAGCGUCGUUAAUAAGGGAUUUUUAGAUUAAUUGCAUGGAAAAUUAUGUAAGUAUUGGAAACAUGUGAGACAAUAAGGGUUUUAAGACAAGAUUGAAAACAGUAAUUAAGGACGACACUAAGCAGGCAGGCUGCGUAGAUGUUCCUGGAGCAGGUGCCAUCCUUUGGAAGUGCUAUCGCUUCUCUGGCAUCGAAUCCCUUCAGGGGGGUAUUUGGAGCAUAAUUAAUUUAAAUUUUCCAUUAUCAUUUCAGUUCCUUGGUGGCGUCGGCGUGGGAAUAGGAAUUUCCAGGUAGAUACAAGCGUAUCAGGAGCAAGGUCGUCGUUGGACAGGAGCUUUGAUGGGGGAGAUAUCAUAAGAUGAGUUCCAAUAGCAUUUUUGGUGUAGAACCCCCUGUGAGAUUUUUGUUUGUUCUUUCUCGUUUCAGGUUGCCUUCCCCCUGUUGUGAUGCAGCGUUGGAGCACGCAAUCACACACACACACCCCACCCCCUCUAGUGGAAUGCAGCGUAGAGAUAUUUGGAGCAUGUUAAUCACAGCUUUCUUUUGUCAUUUCGGGUCUUCGGUGUUUGUGACGUGGGAUGGCAUCUUCCCGGUGGGUUCUUUCAUGUGUUUUGUUUAUCCAUUGUUCUAUAUUAAAUUAUAUUUAGCCUUUAUAGAUUUUGCGCCUUCGUGGAGAGGUUCGUCAGGUAGUAGGUGAGUAGGUUGGGCUUUUUAGCAGCAUCAAAGUGAAUAUUUUAAUCUCUUUUAUUUCAGGUACAAGGUGAGAAUAGGAGAGGCGCUUCCAGCAAGGAUUAAUUUAAAGCAAUGAAACAGGGUCAAAAGACAGUUGGGAUGAGAAAAUUAGAUAAGUUCCAUGGCAUAAUGAUAUAGAGCCCAUUGUAAGGUAUUUGUUUCCUCUAUUCUUAUUUCAGGUUGCCGAUGCUGCGGAAGAAGGAGACAUCGUCAAGGAGGUUUAUAUGUUUCAAUGCCGGUUAUGCUUGUUGCUGUCCCCUGUUGGUCAAGGAUAUCACAGUUGGGUAUCACAGGGUUGACUGUCUCCUUAUUAGGACUCUUCGAUGUGGGAAGCCCAGUAACAAUAGUUUUCAACUCCUCCAACCGAAAGAAGUAGCGCGCAUUGUCAGUACGUCCAGGUUGCAGUCGUCAAAGUUAUUGGAGAAGCGGUCUUCAAGGUGUGCGGCAAAAACCUCAGCUUUCUCCUGUGCCGUCUUCGUCCAAGAGGUGCCGGUCGUCCUUCUGCUGGUGGUCGUCAUGGGAGCGCCUGUUGAGGUCUUAAGGGGAUAAUUUGAGGGAGGCUGACGCUUGAGUUUCCUUGUUAUCCUCCAGAUUCUCGUCAUUAUGUAUCGGUCGUCAGGGUUCAGACGAGCAAGUUGCCCACCAACGCAGUUUUCUCUUGCUCUUUUGAUAGCCUUUGUCAGUUUGUUUUUGAGCCUGGAGGCUUUUCUUUUGUUGUCGUCAGUCUUAUUUCUCUUCAAUUUCUUUUUGCAGGACUCAUAUUGCGCUAUGAGGAUUUUAGUGCGGAGAUCAAGUUUGAGUUUUGGCUUGGAAUUGUGUCCCUUAUUAUUAUGUGCACCGGUGGAGGGAGUGGCAUGCUUUCCAAGUGCUUCACCAAUUUUACGGCUCCUUUCAAGUGUAACUUGGAACUCCCUGAUUCCCUGGUUGCUACGGGGAGGAUAGAGGGGCCAACUCGGACUGGAGGAGGGAAUUGCUGCUGGAGGACUCAGCGGAGUACGCCCACUUGCUACCUCAAUCAGAAGGAGAAGGUGAUCCGAGGAAAGCGCGUCCAGUGAGGAGAUUCUAAUGUUUUUUUUUUUAAUUUGUAU
rnacentral:misc_RNA from 1 species